AUGAUAUUAGUGGAUAAUAAAAAGAAAACGGUAUAAACGUCUCUAGGCUUCAAUGACGACGAAGACGAAUGACGAGAUUAGAGUUAUUACUUUGUUAUUAAUAACGUAUUAAUAUUUCAGCAGACAAUUCAGAAGCCAGUCCUCUCCGAGCCGGCGUCUCCUCCCACGAGACCGAUUCUUGGCACCCGCCACUCUCACCGGAGUAGCUGAAAGACAUUUAUCUUAAAAUACGAACGUCUAGAGAGGCGGUUAUUCAGUCGUUGAAUGAGUAACAGCGUCGACAUCAAACGAAAAUGUUUUAUUGCAGACUUUAUAUUGUAAUGGAACUAAAUUAACAGCAAUUAAGCCUUUAUGUGUUCUUGAUAUAGUCUGCCUUAAUUUUGUAGUACUUUUAAUGUAAUAAAUGUCGACAAGAUGUUAAUUAAUGUAUUGCGUCUGUUACUCUAAGAUAAAACAGACUGCUUCCGAUGUAAAAAUUAUAAAAAUCAUUGGAAUAUC